rnacentral:rRNA from 1 species
UAGAGUUUGAUCCUGGCUCAGAUUGAACGCUGGCGGCAGGCCUAACACAUGCAAGUCGAGCGGUAACACAGAGGAGCUUGCUCCUUAGGUGACGAGCGGCGGACGGGUGAGUAAUGCCUGGGGAUCUGCCCGAUAGAGGGGGAUAACUACGGGAAACUGUAGCUAAUACCGCAUAACGUCUACGGACCAAAGUGGGGGCUCUUCGGACCUCAUGCUAUCGGAUGAACCCAGGUGGGAUUAGCUAGUUGGUGAGGUAAUGGCUCACCAAGGCGACGAUCUCUAACUGGUUUGAGAGAAUGACCAGUCACACUGGAACUGAGACACGGUCCAGACUCCUACGGGAGGCAGCAGUGGGGAAUAUUGCACAAUGGGCGCAAGCCUGAUGCAGCCAUGCCGCGUGUGUGAAGAAGGCCUUCGGGUUGUAAAGCACUUUCAGCGGGGAGGAAGGGCUACUAGUUAAUACCUAGUGGCAUUGACGUUACUCGCAGAAGAAGCACCGGCUAACUCCGUGCCAGCAGCCGCGGUAAUACGGAGGGUGCAAGCGUUAAUCGGAAUUACUGGGCGUAAAGCGCACGCAGGCGGUUUGUUAAGUCAGAUGUGAAAUCCCCGAGCUCAACUUGGGAACUGCACUUGAAACUGGCAAGCUAGAGUCUUGUAGAGGGGGGUAGAAUUCCAGGUGUAGCGGUGAAAUGCGUAGAGAUCUGGAGGAAUACCGGUGGCGAAGGCGGCCCCCUGGACAAAGACUGACGCUCAGGUGCGAAAGCGUGGGGAGCAAACAGGAUAAGAUACCCUGGUAGUCCACGCUGUAAACGA